UACGUAGGGUGCGAGCGUUAUCCGGAAUUAUUGGGCGUAAAGAGCGCGUAGGCGGUCUCUUAAGUCUGAUGUGAAAGCCCCCGGCUCAACCGGGGAGGGUCAUUGGAAACUGGGAGACUUGAGUGCAGAAGAGGAGAGUGGAAUUCCAUGUGUAGCGGUGGAAUGCGCAGAGAUAUGGAGGAACACCAGUGGCGAAGGCGGCUCUCUGGUCUGUAACUGACGCUGAGGUGCGAAAGCGUGGGGAUCAAAC
rnacentral:rRNA from 1 species